rnacentral:rRNA from 1 species
AUUGAACGCUGGCGGCAGGCCUAACACAUGCCAGUCGAGCGGAUGAAGGGAGCUUGCUCCUGGAUUCAGCGGCGGACGGGUGAGUAAUGCCUAGGAAUCUGCCUGGUAGUGGGGGAUAACGUCCGGAAACGGGCGCUAAUACCGCAUACGUCCUGAGGGAGAAAGUGGGGGAUCUUCGGACCUCACGCUAUCAGAUGAGCCUAGGUCGGAUUAGCUAGUUGGUGGGGUAAAGGCCUACCAAGGCGACGAUCCGUAACUGGUCUGAGAGGAUGAUCAGUCACACUGGAACUGAGACACGGUCCAGACUCCUACGGGAGGCAGCAGUGGGGAAUAUUGGACGAUGGGCGAAAGCCUGAUCCAGCCAUGCCGCGUGUGUGAAGAAGGUCUUCGGAUUGUAAAGCACUUUAAGUGGGGAGGAAGGGCAGUAAGUUAAUACCUUGCUGUUUUGACGUUACCAACAGAAUAAGCACCGGCUAACUUCGUG